UUGGGACUGUUUAAGCGUACUUUAGCCAUGCGCUUGUUACGGUAGUGGUAGUUCAGAAGUAUUGCACUAGCUGAGGAGGCUGUACAUGACGUACUUGUUUUUGGUGAAACAGUCCAUCUGCUCAUAGUGAUCUACUGAUUGUAUUUUUAUCUUCUGAGUAUUAUUGUUACCAAAAUUAUAUAAAUAUGGGAUGAAUUAGUUGUUGCCCUUUUGCUGCAACCUAGUAAAAGAUAAAUCUUUCACUUAAUUCUCACAUUUUACUUUUCGGCAUUAACUGGUUAUGUGGCACUGAUGUCACCUUUUUCUUAAAACUUCUGAUUUGUUAUUUAGGGUCGCUUGGAAGCAGCCUCUCUGCCCUUUUGGGUAGGGGUAAGGCUGUCUACAUAUUACCNNNNNNNNNNNNNNNNNNNNNNNNNNNNNNNNNNNNNNNNNNNNNNNNNNNNNNNNNNNNNNNNNNNNNNNNNNNNNNNGGUUGUCUACAUAUUACCUUCCCCAGACCCCACCUGGUGGGAGUAUACUGGGUAGUUGUUGUUGUUGUUGUUCUGAUUUGUUAUUUAGAUUUCCUUCCCGUUACAUGAUCAAGUGUUUUUUUCUCUUUGUUCAUAUUAGUUUCAUCUGUUACUUUUUGUAGGCUCAUGGUAUUCGUCAUUUGGUUCUGCCAACAAGAGAUUAUUUAUUCGCCCCGUCACUGCAUAAUAUAUGUCAAGCAGUAGAGUUCAUCCAUGGUGAGUACAAUCUCACCCCUUUGGCUCCCCAUUUUGGUUAUUUGUGAUUUUGCACUAUUGUCAAAGAUCUUGACCUUAAUUUCUUGGAUGCUUUUUACAUUUUAUCAUGACAUCGCAGUCACUUAACAGCUUGAGAUUCAUCUAAUUGUCUCAGAAACUGGAACUACGAGCACAGCCCCCAUCAUAUCUCAAGUGACGUUGACACACUUCAAUGUCUGAGGGUCAAAGUGUCCAAUUCUCACGUUGAUAUCGAUUCUUUGAGAAUAGUUUUUUUAUGAUUGAAACCAGCCAAAAGUACUUUAAACUGCAUUUUUAUUAAAUUAAAAUAUUUUACAAUUAUCAAAAGAAAAUUAUGGUUUAGGAAAAGUCAACAAAACUGUGGUCCAAGCAAAAUUUAUUCGAUUCGUUGCAUUUUUUUACCUUAUAAAAAAGAUCAAAAUUUGUAUGAUUCACAAACAUUUGUUAAGUUGCUGCUCUUCUAUUUGGAUAUAGUACUUUUUGAGGUAUCUUUCAAUUUAUGUAUUGACUUGUGAUUUUUUAUAUGCAAAAAAGUACAAUAAAAUAGGCCGCAAUUAUGUUUAAAAGCAAAAAAAUUGUAACGUAAAUCAUAGAUGUUUAGCUCCUUUAGCCUUUUGGCGUAAAACUGAAAGCUCACAUGACGUAGAUAGAAUGAUUAAUUUCCUUAGUUCUUUUCAUAUGUAGCUAUUGUGCUGGGAGUGCAAAUGGUUGUACUACUCCUUAUUGCACUCUCUGGGUGCUAUUUUAAUAAAAUUUUCAUUACAAGAGGGGUUGCUCUGACAAGAGGGGUUGCUAUCAUGGUAAGCAACCCCCACUUCCAACCGAGAGGUUGUGAGUUCGAGUCUCCCCAAGAGCAAGGUGGGAAGUUCUUGGAGGGAAGGAUGCCGGGGNNNNNNNNNNNNNNNNNNNNNNNNNNNNNNNNNNNNNNNNNNNNNNNNNNNNNNNNNNNNNNNAAGAGCAAGGUGGAAAGUUCUUGAGGGAAGUAUGUCGGGGACCUAUUUGGAAACAGCCUCUCUACCCAAGGGUAGGGGUAAGGUCUGCGUACACAACCCUCCCCAGACCCCACUAAGUGGGAUUAUACUGGGUUGUUGUUGUUGUUGUUUCAUUACAAUUUUAAAAAAUUAAAUAAGCCACUAUAAGAUGCUUAGCUUUUACCCAUGUGUAUGUUUUCUGUUAUACGUGCAUUGCAAGGCUCUUACAAAUAUACUCUCAUGUGUAUAUUUUCUUGUCUUUGAAGAAAAUGCUUCCAACGGACAAAGUACGUACGUGCAUUGCAAGGCUGGUCGAGGACGUAGCACAACAAUUGUCUUAUGCUACUUGGUGGGUAAACUAAGACUUGAUUGAAUCGAUUGUUUAAAGAUCACUUUACGUAUUUUCUCCUAAAAUUUAUUUUGUAUUGUAGGUUAAGUACAAGCAGAUGACACCAAAUGAUGCAUAUAACUAUGUGAAGUCGAUUCGUCCGAGGGUGCUUUUGGCCUCUUCCCAGCGACAGGUGUCUCAGAGAUUUGCCUCAUCUUUUACUCUUUUUGGCGCUUAUCUUUGGAUGCAUGAUUGUUUUGCCUUGUGAGAUUGAUGAAAAGAUAUACUCCUCUUGCCUUGGUUAUUCUGGUUAUUGUUGCUGAUCCUUUUUGCCCAUUAAUCAGGCUGUCGAGGAAUUCUACCUUCUCAUGGUGAAAGGGACAUACAGUUGUAGCCCCUUGACUAGUCUGAACUCAAGGAACUCAAGGUUCUUGGCUGGACGGAAUUUGUUAGCCUUCGAUGAUGGUGCUGUAGUUGUGAUAACCGAAGCAGAUCUAGAUGGAUAUGAUCAUAGCCGUGACUCUAGGGUGGAUGGAUCUGAGAUCUGGGCUGAUUUGAAUUUGAUUUACAGGGUUCGAGUUGCCGGUGGAGCAGCCUUAGCAAGACUCUCCUGUAUGUGGUUUCAUUGUCACACGGACCAGAACAUUCCGCGUCAGAAGCUGACCGCAGAGAGCAAGCAGCCGGUGGGGCAGCCUUAGCAAGGCUCUCCUGUAUGUGGUUUCAUUGUCACACGGACCAGAACAUUCCGCGUCAGAAGCUGACCGCAGAGAGCAAGCAGCUGGGAAGUUUUACUGUAGAUAUACAUGUGUUUUCUUAAGUUUAAAUUUGUACAUAUUUUUCCAGUAUAAAAAUGUUACAAGGAGCCUACUGUUAAGCUUUCUUUACCAAUGGAAACCUUGACUUUCUCAAUGUAAAUACAAUAUAGUACUUCUCAAGUUGAUAAUGAGAAGUCUGAGUAUAUAUAUGUAUAUAUAGCUGUAUCCAGAACCUGAACUUUCAAUGAAGGACUUGAGUGCUUCCUUUUGGUGGUGGUGCCAUCAACCAAAUAUGGGGCAACAUACUGUUGCAUUUCUUGAAUGGCCAUUCCAAGAUGAUAUCCUUGUAACCAUUUAAAAAAGAAGAAGAAAAUGAUAUCCUUGUAACUUUAUGAAUUGCACAUUUCCAGCUAUAUCCAAGGUUUGCAAUCCAAACAAAUUCUCCAGAUAAAAAUUAGUAUACCAGAAUGAGUAAAACAGGAGAUUUUCUUUUUGGGUAAGGAAGAACCCACAGCCACUACAGCUGCUUGCACAUCCUCUGCCUUUCGGGUGAGUACGUUAUGUGCACUGGGUAAACCCCCAUGUGUAAUAGACUGCAAACUACACAAGUAGGCAAGCUCUGUGCGAUAGGUUCAACCCAGAAGGCAUUGAAGAAAGGAUCGAUCCCAAAGUCAUCCGAAUUGAUGACCACCCUCUAAACCAACUGGGCAUCACCGAGGGGCGGAGAAAUUUUUUGACAUUUUGCAGUACAAAUAGGAAAAUGCAAACACCAUUCCUUUCUUGCUUUCUCCAAAGAACUUGCCCUUUUUCUGGUAAUCUCUAUAUGUUGUAAAGAUAUCUACACUGUCAAUGUACCAUGUUUAGACUUAUUAGCUUGUUGCAGUGAGUUAUAAAUUCUCGAAACAAUCCUUAAAAUAAUAUCCUCUUACUGCACUCCCCUCUUUUUCAUCACUGACAAGUGUAAUGCAUCUGACACAACUGGGAUCUGAAACUACUCCAAUAAUCAAUUGAUAAUGACUAUACUAGGUACUCCAUUGAAAUAAAACAGUAGUUCAAUUUUGGAAAAUUUAACAUCCCUUCUUUGUCUUUCCUUUCUCCAAAAAACUUGCCGUUUUUAACAGGGAGAUUUUGAAAUUUUUUUUUGGUAAUUAAAGUUUUUUCAUUAAUCACCAAUGAAAUUGCAUUACAUAACCACAGUCAAGCUUCAACUCGGCCGACUGUCUGAAAGCUAACAUAAUAACUACAGUUACUGUCCUAACUGUCUAACAUAUACUAUAUUCUAAGGAGUUGCAAUUGUUGCCUAAUUCUAGGGGUGCCUCUAACAUUACAGUUGUAUACUAUGUCUCUCAGUAGAGCAGUAUUCCAUCNNNNNNNNNNNNNNNNNNNNNNNNNNNNNNNNNNNNNNNNNNNNNNNNNNNNNNNNNNNNNNNNNNNNNNNNNNNNNNNNNNNNNNNNNNNNNNNNNNNNNNNNNNNNNNNNNNNNNNNNNNNNNNNNNNNNNNNNNNNNNNNNNNNNNNNNNNNNNNNNNNNNNNNNNNNNNNNNNNNNNNNNNNNNNNNNNNNNNNNNNNNNNNNNNNNNNNNNNNNNNNNNNNNNNNNNNNNNNNNNNNNNNNNNNNNNNNNNNNNNNNNNNNNNNNNNNNNNNNNNNNNNNNNNNNNNNNNNNNNNNNNNNNNNNNNNNNNNNNNNNNNNNNNNNNNNNNNNNNNNNNNNNNNNNNNNCAACUGUUUAGUAGUGCAUUUCUGAUGUUUCCAGUUCUGGAUCCUUUGUAGAGUGUCUCUGGAUUGGAUGAUCUUCUUAACCAUCCAGCUGGCUUGGGUAGGGAUUGGCAUGGAUUCUAUUGGCCUAUAUUUGAUAUAAUACACUGUGAUCCACCUUAUCCACAUCUUAUCCUUCUUAUGUGCUAUGUCCCANNNNNNNNNNNNNNNNNNNNNNNNNNNNNNNNNNNNNNNNNNNNNNNNNNNNNNNNNNNNNNNNNNNNNNNNNNNNNNNNNNNNNNNNNNNNNNNNNNNNNNNNNNNNNNNNNNNNNNNNNNNNNNNNNNNNNNNNNNNNNNNNNNNNNNNNNNNNNNNNNNNNNNNNNNNNNNNNNNNNNNNNNNNNNNNNNNNNNNNNNNNNNNNNNNNNNNNNNCUCCUGCAAAUGCUUUCAAUCAUUUUAAGAACUUUCACUGGGAAGAUAAACAGCUGAGCCCAGUAAGCUUGAAUUCCAAAGAUGACAGAUUGCACCAAUUGAAGUCUCCCAGAGUAUGACAGUGUUCUAGCAGUCCAAGAGGUGAUCCUAGCUGUGAUUUUCUCCACUAAUGGCUGCCACUAUAGUAUGGUAAUUUUCUUGGUGCUCAGUGGUACACCCAGGUACUUGAAAGGCAGGUGGCCUUGUUCAUAUCCAAGAUGGUCAAGGAUCUGCUUCUGUACAGGUAUUGAUACUCCUCCAAAAUAGACUGAGCUCUUGUUCAAGUUGGCCUUGAGACCUGAGGCUGCAGAGAAUUAGAAGAAGCAUUUACCCGAUAGUCCCCAUUUUGGGAACGUCCAGUGCCAAAGUCACUGAAUGGGUAAGUCGCCUAUCCCUGUUGGAUAAUGCCUUGACAGAUUGGAGGUCUCCCUUGGUAGAGCUGUUGUUCAAGUUGGCCUUGAGACCUGAGGCUGCAGAGAAUUUGGAGAAGCAGUUGGAUAAUGCCUUGACAGAUUGGAGAUCUCCCUUGGUAAACAGCAACAAGUCAUCUGCAAAGCACAUAUGUGUAAUAUCUAGUUUUUUACAUCUGGGAUGGAAUUGAUAUGCUGGAUCAGCUUGUAAUACAGUACAUGACCUGCUUAAAUACUCCAUGACCAAGGCAAAUAGGAAUAGGAAUAGGGAAAUGGGGUCCCCUUGCCUCAAUCCUUUGGCAGCAGCAAAUGGAACAGUAGGCUCUCCAUUAACUAAAACAGAGUAGCUCACUAUUGAUAUACACUCCAUAAUCUAUUUGGUGAAAGUGCUAAGGAAUCCAAUCUGCUCCAUGACUUGCUGUAAGAACACCCAUUCCACUGAAUCAUAUGCUUUCUGGAGAUCUAUCUUAAUCAUGCAUCUGGGGGAGACAUGCUUCCUAGUAUAUCUUUUAACAAGCUCAUGAGCUAGGAUGAUGUUAUCCUGAAUUUUCCUACCCGGAAUGAACCCUGUCUGAGCUUCAUUGAUGAGGCUUGCCAUCACCUCCUGCAGCCUAUUAGCCAGUACUUUGGAGAUGAGUUUGUAUAGGACAGUACAGGAAGCAAUAGGUCUAUACUCUUUGAUUGAAGUUGGUUUGGACAGUUUAGGGAUGAGGGUAAUAGUUGCACAAUUGAUUGGUCUGGACAGUACAGCAUGCAAUAGGUCUAUACUCUUUGACUGAAGUUUGUUUGGACAGUUUAGGGAUGAAGGUGAUAGUUGCACAAUUGAUUGGUCUGCACUUCUUUGCUGAGUUGAAGAACUGUUUAAUGGCAGUAGUGACUUGGUUACCAAUGAUGCUCCAGCUCUUUUUGAAGAAAACAACAUUGUAUCCAUCUAUUCCUGGUGCUUUGUCAUCUCCAAUAGCUUUGAGACUCUCUGUUAUUUCUGUUUCAGUAACUGGAGCACGCAGUUCCUGUCUUUGCUGUUGUGUCAAUUUUGGGCCUUUGGACAUGUACAAUUGGUUGAUAGCAGGUAGUUUAGGUUCAGCAGUGCCCAUCAUUGCUUUGUAGAAUCCCAGGAUUUCUUCUUUAAUUUCUGUUGGUGCAAUCAGCUUGGUUCCCUGGGCAUUGGUAAUCUCAUUGAUCUGCUUCUGCUGACUUCUGUCCUUCAUUACUGCAGUAAAGUACUUGGUGUUGGAGUCUCCAAGUUGUAUCCACUUUGCUCUUGCCUUCUGUUGCAAGACACUCUCCUCAAUUUGCAGGACGCUCUCCUCAAUCAGUGACCAUUUUUCCAGUUGCAAUAUCAGUUCCUUCUCCUUCUGUUGUAGUGCAUCAUUGUAGGCUUGGCUCAAUUGGGUUUGUAGGAUUCCCAGUUCCUGUCGACUCUCCUCAAUUCUAUGUGCAAUUGUCUUGAACUCCUUAUUAUUCAGUGUCUUCAAAGGAGUCUUCAAGGCUUUGAGCUUGUCCCAUAUUGUUCUCAUGGUAUCUGUCUUCCCAUCCUGCCAUACUGUUGUCACAAUGUGUUGGAAAUCCUUGUGUUCAGCCCAUACAUUAAAGAGUUUGAAGUUCCUCUUCCCUUGCCAGGAGGGUGCUUUCAGUGUUAGUAUCAUUGGGUUAUGGUCUUAAAUUAAUGGUACAUCAUACUCAGUGACCACCUGGUUCCAGUUGAUCCUCCAUUCAAAAUUGCCAAACACUCUAUCAAGCCUGCUGCAUACUCUGUCCACACCAGUUUGCUUAUUGGAUUUGAAGUUCCUCUUCCCUUGCUAUGAGGGUGCCUUCAGUGUUAGUAUCAUUGGGUUAUGGUCUAAAAUUAAUGGUACAUCAUACUCAGUGACCACCUGGUUCCAGUUGAUCCUCCAUUCAUAAAUGCCAAACACUAUAUCAAGCCUGCUGCAUACUCUGUCCACACCAGUUUGCUUAUUGGUCCAUGUGUAGUAGUCACCUCUCCUGGGUAACUCUGUCAGUCCAGUAAGUUGUAGGCAAUUGUUGAAAUCCACAGUUUCUGGUAAUCUGACUGACUUGCAAGAUUGUCUAUCUCUGUCACACAAGACUGCAUUGAAAUCCCCAGCAACAACCCAUGGUUCUUUGAUUCCUGUUGCCAAAUUUUGUAAGCUGCUCCAUAAAGUUCUUACUGCAUUGAGAUCCCCUGCAACAACCCAAGGUUCUUUGAUUCCUGUUGCCAAGUUUUGUAAACUGCUCCAUAAAGUUCUUCUCUGGUCCUGUCCAUUAAAUCCAUAAAUCACAGUAAGGAAACAAUUCAAGUCCCCUGUUCUGCUGGAAACCCUGUUGUGGAUCAAUUGGCUUCCUCCAGAAUACUAGUGACUGUGAAAAUUUUUGGAUUCCAUAGGAUCCAUACUCUACCUUUCUCCCCUGAGACAUAGUUAGUUAGGACACCCCAACCUGGUGCUAAUAGAUUAGCAAUUCUAUUAGCAUGUGCUUGCUUAACUUUUGUUUCUACCAGUCCUACUAGGUUAAUGUUGUGUUUCCUAAUGUAUUCUCUAAAUUCUUUCUGCUUGUACCUCUUAUUUACACCCCUUAUGUUCCACACUAACCACUUCAUUGAUAAGAUGUUGAUGUAGUGUUCCCAAUCUCCCCCGGAGGUUCAUCUUUAUUACUAGAUACUGCUAUGUUCCACACUAACCACUUCAUUGAUAAAAUGUUGAUGUAGUGUUCCCAACCUCCCCCGGAGGUUCAUCUUUACUACUAGAUACUACUGCAAAUCUGUUACUCACAGUCAUGGGCGACAGAGGGGGAAAAUUGAUACUGUUGAGGGCUAGGCUCUGAGGUUGCUUUCCCUUGUCCUUGCUCUUAUCACCCUUCUGGUUCUGGCUUGACCUGGGUUCCUGCUGAGGUCCUCUAGGCUCCCUUGUUGGGGACUGUCUCUGUAUUGGCAUAACAGGUCCCUUGGUUCUCCACUCCUGAACUGACUUGGGCUUCCACACUUGUGUAGGCUGUUUUUGUAGGCUUGCGCAGUUGUGUCCUAUUGUUUGACAUUUCUCACAGAAUGAAGGCUUCCAUUCAUAUUCCACAUCUUGAUCACCUCAAUGAGCAUUCUGGCAUAGGAUAUCCUUGUCUAUUUUGUAGUACACUCAUCAGCAAAGAUUGGCUUGCCUAGCACACUAGCAAUUAUGUAAGAGAUCUCAUACCCUAGCAUGACAUUGGUAGUUUUGGGAAUUUAACCCACAGUGGUAUUUCAGUCGGAAACUCUUCUGAAAAAUCAAACUCUGGUGUCCAUUGCUUGAGAAUCAUCGGCCUAUUGGCUAUUGAGUAAUGGCCAGCACAGAGUACCUCUUUGGCAUCAGCCACUGUCUUGAAUUUAACAAUGUAGUAUCCCUCAUCAUGGUAGAACAAAUCUGGUUCGGGAACAUGGGACCAGUGAUGGUUUAUGAAUCUUCUCAUUCGUUGAAUCCAGGACCAUCUCCUAGAAUGUAUAUCACUAAGGCAUCCACUUGGCUUCCUUCUCUUCCACCUCUGCUCAUUCCAGUUGUACUAUGGGCUUUCCUUCAACUAAAGUUGGGGCUAUGUAGUCGAGUGUCAUACCAUGAGUCGCAAAGCGAUUUUUCUGAAAUAGUGUUAACCAUGGCUUCUUAGGUUCUUCUGCUUUGUUUUUGAUAAUCUCUGGUUGUUCUUCAGUUGGUAUUUCGGGUUGCAUGGUCGUCUCUGUCACAGGACUUGCUUCAACUGUAGUCGGAGAGGUUGGAGUACCCUCAACCUCUGGUGUCAUUGGAGUUUCUGUAGUCGUUCUUUCUGGCACAUCUGAUUGUUCGGUCACUAUCUCUGCCGGUGGCACCGCCUCUUCCAUGGCGUCUAGGGUUUCCUCCGAGGACAAUUUCUGCACUUCCUUCACGGUAUUCUUCUCCAUAAUCAGUUGAUUAAGCUUGUCAAAGGUAUCAAUUGGGAUUUUACGUGGUCUUCCCCUUCCUCUGCUCCCGCCUUUCUCCAUCGCCACACGCUCGGCGUACGUUCUGCUAACGUGCGCCGAGAGAGAUGAAGGUUAGGGUUUUAGUUUAUGUAAUAAUAAAAUUAAUUAUAUUAAUCUUAAUUUAUUCAUUUAAAGUAUAACAAAUGCUUUUAGGCUCUUUAUUCUAAGAACAAUUUUUAAAAAAAAGUUAGUUCGUCCUUAAUAUUUGAAAAUAUUAAAUAUUGUGGCUCGGCGUACGUUAUGCUAACAUGUGCCGAGAGAGAUGAGAGAGACUGGUGGAGAGAUUUUGAAAUUGAAGAGGCUUAGCUCGCGUUUGGUCAUAGAUUUUAGCUAUUUUUUUUCAAAAAAUGGUUUAGAGCAUUGUUUCUUCAUAGAAUAUGAUUAGUUUUUUUUUUUAAAAAAAAUUCAAGUUCCCAAAAACUGGUUUAGGAAAGUUUUUUGGUGAAUUUUUUUUUCCACUAACAAAAUUUUAACUUUUUUUCAAAUAAAAUGUUUGUCCCAACAUAAUUUCAACUUUCAAAAAUUAUUUUUAACAUAAUUUGGAAAACUUUUUUCGAGCUUCAAUUAAAUUUAUGUCCAUACGGUAGCAUAAUUCUCGAAUGGGUGACUACUAGUACUUUUUAUGAGAUUUAUUGACACUGUAAGAGAAGUCUUAAAAAGUUAAUCUAACAAAACAUGAAAUAGAUUAUUAUAUUCUAACACAAAAACCUAAACUUAAAAAAUUACUUGAAGACACUUUAGUAGUAGUAUUUUUUUUAACACCUUAACAAGAAAUUGUUUUAAUUAGUGGACCACUUGAUCAUCAGUUUUAUUCUUUGGUGGUCCAUCAAUCAAAUAUGGGAUAGCAUAUUGUUGCAUUUCUUGAAUAUCCAUUCCAAGGUGAUAUCCUGGUAACUUUAUGAACUUCACUUUUCCAGCUUUAUCCAAUGUUUGUAAUCCAAACGUGUCCUCUAGAUAAAGAUUAGUCUGCCAAAAAAAAAAUAUUAUUACUCCUAAAAUAUAACAUGGUUAUUGAUUUUAAAAUGUAGAAAAGAAAUAGGAUAAUAAUAUUACCUGUUGCGGUGGCAAAAUUUGAGAGUAGGUUCCAUCUUGAUAAAAGCCAAACCAAGAACUUUCUUUUGGGUUUAUAACAUUAUCAUUUUCAAACUAUAAAUAUAUUCAAAAUAAAAUGGGGAUUAUUUAGUUAGUACAUUAUUGAAUAAAAUAAUAAAUAUAUGUGGAGAUUAAAAAAGAUUGUUAAAAAAAGAGUAAAAUAUACCAUGAUAAGGACAAGGUUCUGCAAACUGGUGAAACGUUGCUUAUAUAUGGGAUUAGUUGCAUUAGGAAUUUCAUUAUUAAGGUUUGGCAGAUACCUACAACCUCUCAAGUAUCCAGCAAUAUCCUGAGAAAAAAAAAAGGAGAACCAAUUUAAAGAAAAUGUUAAAUUAUAAUCUGUACUUUCCAAUUUAAAUAAGAGUAUUUACGAAUAUAACCAAAGAAAUAAUUAGCAAGUAUUACUCACAUUUGGAAGCUUGGUGUAGCCACUAGGAGCAUAAUGAGCCUAAGAUUUGCAGAUUAAAAACUCGUUUACUAAAAAAUAAUCGUUUGAAAAAAAAAUUGAAAGGAAAGAAAUAUUAAAAGAGAAUUUAAAGAGGGCAUACUUGAACAUAAUCGGAGUAUAUUCCAAUUCCAGAGGCACCACCAGCUCCAGCACACCAAGGGCCACCCUAUUAAUUAAAGAACAUAAGUUAUUUUACACUUCGUAAUUAAUAUUGUUAUUGUUAUGGAUAGUUAUAUACACCAACAAUGUAAAUAAUUUAUAUAUUAUUGACGUAAUUUAACUUGUGAUACUAUAUUAGUUAUAUACUCGGUUGCAUUGCACUGUUAUUCUUUACUAUUUGGUCUUCUAUGUUCUUUGUUGUUGAUCCAUUGCAGUCAAAUUUUUGCAUUACUCGGUUUAUUUUACAUUAUAAAUGCAUAGAAAUAAACUCUAUUGUUAUUGUUAUUAUUAUUAUUGUAAUUGUUGUUAUUAUAUUACUACGAUUUGGAUAGAUAUAGAAUUACAUACAGCGCAGGCAGGAGCAUCAGCAACACCAGCAUUAGGUCCACCUAUUGAGAUAAAAUUCUUGACCUGUGGCACAUUUAAGUUCCAAAAAGAAAAAAAGAAGACCACAAAUGCAAAAAACGAUGAAACGUAAAUAAUGAACAUAAAAAGAAAAAAAUAUUAGUAAAAUAUAAUUGUGAUAAAAUUCUCACUGGAGGUGCUCCAUCACAGAACUCUAUAAGCCCUCUUGCUACCAUAUUUCCCUGAAAAACACAAUUUCCAUACAUAAAAUAUUGAUCGCCGCACAAUUACUCUUUUCGUCUUAAAUUAUCUGCUGUGAUUUAAAAAUAAUUAUCUUAAAUUAUUGUUAUUUUAGAAGUUCAAAACUAAAUUAAUUUUUUAUAAUUUUAUCCUUAAUAGUAAUUAUUCUAGAAGAUGGAAAUAUAUAGUAUAUAAAUAGAGUAAACAUUUAAUGAAGAAAGAUUAUAUCUUAUGACAAAAAUAAGAGUAAAAUAGUCUAACAUUCUUCCUGAUUAAUAUUUUCUUAAAGGGCAUGGAAAAGAAAAAUAUGAGGGAGAAAUGAGAAGACAAAAAGGAAAAAGUAAGGGAGAUACAUUUAUGAUUAAAGGGCAGUUCGGUGCACUAAGCUUUUGCUAUGUGGGGGAUUUUGUAAAGACCCGGAUCACAAGAGUCUAUCAUAUACAGUCUUACCCUAUAUUUCUAUAAAAAGCUAUUUUUAUUGCUCGAACAUAUGACCUCUUGAUCACAUGACAAUAACUUUACAAGUUACGUCAAGAUAAAUGUAUUUACCUGUGAGAGACCAAUUAAGUUGUAACCUUGUUGAAGUUCAUUCAUUCCCUUCACCUAUAAUUUAAUUUCAGACGUUGUCAAUAGUUUUUCAAUUUUUAAAAAGUUUUUAUUCUAAAAAGGAAAGUUGAAAAGAGAAACAAAAAGAAUGGUGAUGUCUCAUUACCUUUUCACAAGCAAUUUGAACCUACAAAAGUACAGCAUGGGAAAAAGAAAGGCACGGAUUACAAUUCAUAAAAAGCACAAGAAUUUUAUGCAAUUAAUUCAAUCGAAAUAAUGAGAAACAAUAAGAAUCACUACUUUAUUUCAACUGUUACCUGAUUGUCUAGAGGCAUGCUGUAGGAAUCAUACGCUCCAUUUCCAAUUUCUCUACCCAAAAAAAAAGAAGUGAAAAUUCCAGACAUUAAUAAACAAUAACAACAAUAGACUAUAACUUGGUACACUGGUGUAAAACUGUUUUACACAAUCAGAUUAAAGUUACCUAUAACAUUAUGUAAGUUUCCAUAAUAAUAUAUGCCUAUUUUGAUAAUAUAAAAGGUAAAGUAAAUAACAUGAUAUGUAACUAGAAGCGCAUGUAGCGUAUAGAGUUUAUAGUUUCAUCUGAACAGAUAACUUUCGAUACAACGAAUAUAUUAACGUACAAAAAGACCAAAAGUCUCCUAUAUUAACCUGUUACACAACAUUAUUAGGGUAAUUUGGAUUAAAAAAAUGGGCACCUGCAUACACACACAACAUUAUUAAAAUUUCAAAACAAAUAUUAUACUUGAACCCAUAGUUUUAAAGUUUUAACAGUAUAACAAGUUUAUUGUAAGUUUAAAUCCAUUAAAUUCAAAUUAUGAAUUCGUAUCUGAAUGUAAUAGGUAAAACCGUAAAAGUUACUAUACUAUUGUGGUGUAAAAAUUAAACUUGACUUGUAUUUCUCACCAUCAACCGUAGUAAAAAAUGUCAGUAAUAAAAAUAAUAGCAAUGAUAAUCAUAAAAAAUUAAUUUAUGAUUUAGCUGAUCAUUUCAUGCAUGAGAAGAAGACAAAUAUAUUGUUAGAAAAUAACAAGGAAAACAAAUUAACGUACAAGCAGUAUCCGUUAGAUCUAGACAAGAGGCUGAGUUGUGACGUAUAAAAUGUACUUCCUGCAUCAUUACACGACUGCCCAAGCCCUGCCAUGAAAAAAUACCUCAUAAUUCCAUUUCCAUAUGAAAAUUAAUUACUAAAAAGAAAUGUUAAUCACAAUAUAAAUAAAAAGAUUACCAUGCAAUACUAUGAAAGGAGUAGAAGUCGAAAGACAUAUGGAACAGAAGAUUGAAAUUAUAAAGAGAAUUAAAGUUUCUGAACAUAAAUAAGCUAUUAUUGAUCGAGCUUCUUCUGAUCUUUUUCCCUAAAUAUAAUUUGUUUUCUUCUUUGUUUACAGGUUUUGCAAAGAAGAAAUGGAGGGAUGUGCAGAAGUUUCAGCUUUAGUAAGUUGGAUAUAUAUUACCACUUUUGGAGCAAUCAGUAUGGGGACAAAUUUUAAAUUAUUUCCUUUGUUCGUCCUCUUUCUAAAUAUUUUCCACUUUUAUUGGCAAUUCUGGAUAUCCAAUUAGUGUUUUGAUUUUUUUUGCCUUAUAAUGUCUUAUAAGGGUAUUUUGUCAUAACGUCUAUUUUUCGCCAAAUAAAGAAUAAGAAAACUAAUGUGUACCAAAACGCCAAAGGUGCAUAUUAUUGGUUAUUUCUCAUCUUUACGUCAUGUAAUAGGAAAGGUGUAGUGGGCGUUUGGACAUAAAGAAUUGUAAAAUUUUAAAAUAGGAGGAAAAUGUUUUUGAAAUUUAGAGUUACAUUUGGACAUAAAUAUAAUUUUGGAUUGUUUUCAAAAUUUGUGAGUGAUUUGAGUGAAAAUUUUGAAAAACAGUUUUUUGGAGUUUUUUAAAUUUUCAAAAAUUUCCAAAAUGUAUCUUCAAGUGGAAAUUGAAAUUUUUAUGAACAAACGCUGAUUUUGAAAAAAAUAAUUUUUUUUUGGAAAAAGGAAAAAAUUUCUUAUGUUCAAACAGGCUCUUAGUCCAUUUUCAUACUUCUUCAAGUAGCAAAAUUUUAACUUAAAACGGAAUGAUUUAGAACUAUUUAAUUUCUAGCUAAAUACUUUAACAUCUUAGCAAAUGGAAAACAACAUUUCAGUAUACAAUGGCAAGUGUAACUGAGAGUCGUAUUACAUCUAACUAGGCCACUUUAAUUCCAUCUUUUUCACUAUAUAAUAUAUAUAUAAAAAGAAAAAUUUCCUGCUGAUGCAUGUCAAUAUAACAUGAACAUAUUACAAUUCUCCUCUUAAGUUGCAACACAUUUCGGUUGGUAAAAUUAAUCUUUUUAUCUUUUUUCAAACACAAUCUUGUUACCCCGUCGAGAAUUGUUUUUCUUGACCCGAAAAUCUUUGAAAAAUAGUCUCACUAACUCUGUAAGGUAGGGUUAAGGGUCACACAUAUAUUAGAUAUGUUGUUAUUUUGAAACACAAAUUUUUAUUUAUUUUGAAAAUGGCUGCUUUAUUUAUGUGCAGGAUUCUAAUUCUAGCAAAGAACCUUUGAUCCUCCAUUAUUCACGUGCCCACUUUCACCAAAAAAGAAAUUAAUUAAAAAACUAGUCAAAGUGAACUGAUACACAAUAUUUGUAACGGUUAUCAGCAGUCUAUUUCUCAUCACUAAUUAAGAUUUUGUAGCUCAAUAUAUGAGGUAUGAUCUUCUAAAAAAAUGUUCACGUUUAUAAUGAAAUUGAUUUAAUAUAUAUAUCUUCCUUACUUAUGAGCUUAAUCCCUGCAUAAAAGUAAUCAUCUUAAUUCCUAAUACCGACGUAUCAAAGAUCUUAGGGAUUUGCCAGGUUGGGUUGUAUUAGUUAUUGAUAUUGGAAUCUUUUAUCGCACGUAGAAAGAUUUUCGAAAUUGUUAAAAUUAAAAUUGUCAAUGAGCAAACAAGACUUCUUUGAAUAAAUGUGACAUGGUGUAAUUUUUAAAGUGAAAAUGAUACUGUAUAAUCUCUCUCAAAAUAACAGAUAUUAGAAUCUCUUAUCGCACAUAAAAAGAUUUUCGAAAUUGUUAAAAUUAAAAUUGUCAAUGAGCAAACAAGACUUGUUUGAAUAAAUGUGACAUGGUGUAAUUUUUGAAGUGAAAAUAACACAGUAUAACCUCUCUUAAAAUAAUACCUGAAACAAAAUUAUUUAUAUAUAUGAUAGUACUUUAUGAAAAAUUCUCUUUAUUCUUCAAUGACAAUAUUGAAGAUCUUAGCAUAAUUCUACUUUUCUUCUCUUUGCUAAAGAAUAUGUUUCUCUUGUAAUCUCAAAUAUUAGUCGUUUUUUGUAAAGAAAUUUAUUUAAAAUAUUCGACAUUUUAUAAAACAAGAAGCAAUUUAUUACAAAGCUAUAUAAUUAGACAUGAAGUUUAAUAAAAAAGAGAAUACUUUUGAAUUUAUUGUGUAAAAUGAGAUACAUAUAUCUUGUAUGGUUAUAAAUUAUUUCAUAAAGAUAAAUUAGUUUUAAAAAUGAAAAAAGGUUAUCCUUUUUGGCAUAGAAUACAAAGAAAAUAGUUCACAUAUAAGGGUUCAAAACUUAAUAUAUAAAGGUAAAAAAAUAAAUUUUGCCUAUACAGUUGUUUGGCGAUGCCUCCGCCACUGCACAUGAGCAGCUGGUGUCCCAUUGAACUUUUGAUCUUAAGGGUUUCACGUAAAAUAUAUUAGUGUUUUCAAUAUAUAUGCAUAUAUAUAUAUAUAUAUAUAUAUAUAUAAAACUUUUACACUUUGCGGUUAUUGGACAUAAAAAGUUUCUGUCACGGGCUAAAUAUAAUCUUUGCCCUAAUUUACAUGGGCAUGUAAAAUUCUUAUCAGUUGUAUACCGAAGUUCAUUAUAGAUCUCCUUGAUAUGUUCACACUGCUAAUACCAAAAAAGAAAUACAGUAGAAGUAAUUUAGAUAUGUACCUUUAUCUACCUGUCUAUUUAGUGGUCAUUUUCAUCAGAAACAACGUCUCUGCCCUACCGGGACAUGAAUAAAGUCUGCGUACAUAUUAUUCUCUUCAAAUCCCACUAUGUGAGAUUUUACUCGAUAGUUGUAGUUGUUGUUUCUUUGGUUUAAAAUGAUUCUUGUCCAAUUGACUCUGUUUUAGCAAAUUUUACCAUCUUAUACUACAUUUAGGAGCUCUAGUUGGGGCACUAACUCACACAAAGUAACAAAGGCCACACAGUUGCUAGUAAUGCUAUCUGAUAUUAGUAGUAUAUCACAUACAUGUACAUAUAAGAUGACAUAUAGCUUACAAUCAAAGCCAUGUUAUAUUUCAAUGAAGUUGUAUAUCGUGUAAUCAUCCAACAAUCAAACAACCAAAUGAAGGGUCAAGAGACUGAUUCAUCUAUGGUCAAACCAAGUAGAUCGGCGAAGAAGCUCUUGACAGGUGCAGGCCAAUUAUAAGAUGAGGAACCUUCAAACGUUAAAAUGGUUAAUGACUCGUCUUGCAAAUCAUGCAAUGCCAUGCUCUCCACAUUUACAGAGCUCCCGUCUGUUGAUGCAUUCUCUGUUAAGUAUGGAACAACAUGCUUUCUCAUAUCACUGGAAGAAAUUUGAAGAUGAUUCCCAGCUACUUUGACAUAUUGCAUCUUCCCAGAAUCGUCUAAGGUUUUCAAACCAAUCCAAUCCUCGGUGUAGAGCUUAGUCUGCAAAAAAAUUAAGGCAAUAAUCUCAAUAGGGUAAACUUCAAGCACAUGUAGGGAAAAGCAAAAUUUCUUUUCAAGAUUGUUGGGCUUACCUUUAGUGGACUUGCAAGGGGAUUAUGUGGUAAGGUUAAGACAUGACGUUAUGAUGGAAUAGAGAAUAUAUAAAUAGGUGUGCAAGUGCAGAUGUAAGACAUAGUUGCUGUUGUUAGUUAGCAAAGAAACCAUUGACAUUAAUUAUCAAAUUUAAAGAAAUCGAUCAUAUUACAGAAUUGGAAAUUCUACAGGUAAGUCCUUGAAUUACAGUAAUCCCAGGGAACAUGACAGAAGUUCAAAGGGCCUAGUUCGAGAUAUAAUUCAGUUGAGGUUGGUUCUAGUUUGACAAAUGUCGAGCUCAAGCCUUAAGAACUCGGUCACAGUUAAUUAGAAAGAAACACGAGCACACUACAUUGGGAAAUUGACCAAUCAUUGCAAUUAAUCGUUGAAUGUCAAAUAGUACUAAAGAAUGGAGCUUCUACCAAUAACUCCUUGGAGUUCAGUUAGCCUGCCAACAGGAUUGAAGCAUAAAAGCCUAGUUCGAGAUAGCAUUCAGUUGAAUUUAUUAUAGUUUGAUACAUGUGAAUUAGAACAGUGAGAUUAUUGCACGUCUAAUCGAGUCCACUUGAAUAUUAAAAAACUUAUCUCUGUAGCUUCUCAUUUAUGUGAAGGGGUUUACUUACAUUUUUUUAUAAAAAAAAAAGAUAAAUGCAUGACAUAAAUGGCAAAAGAGGCUUGAUUAAACCAUAUGGAGGAGCAGAAAAGUCUUAGAAAAUUUAUCUUUAAACUGUCAAUAUCUUGAUCUCGAGCUUGCGUUUUUGUUCUGCAGGCACAAUUAAUUUUAAGCUUCAAAUGAAGCUGAAGCCCAAAAUCAAAGCCGUGCAUAAUACAUUCAGGUUGAGUCAAGAUUAACUAGAUCUUAAACUUGGCUUGAUUCAAGUCCCACCUAAUUGGACUGAACCCAACCCGAUGAAACUUUUUGUGGCUUUUACUUAUAGCCAUUUCACAACAUCUUGGUGGUAAUUGUAGAGGACAAUUAAUUGCCCUCUUGUUUUGGCAUUAAUGAUUGGUAGAAAAGAAAAGGUAGCAAAUAUGAGCUCUACAUAGUAAGUUUCUUUCUACCUAUUUAGUCCGUUCGGAAACACCACAAACACCCCUAUCUGAUUCUCAAAGGUUACAGAUGAAAUCCGAAAAAUUAGAACAUGUAACUAAGGUAUAUGGCAUAUGCAGUAUUUUGGGUACUUUGAAGGAUAACAGAGGAAAAGAAAAAGAUGAGAGAGAACAAACUGCAUGAAGAAAUUGAUCAAGGGCGGAAAAGAUAAGGGCAUGUCUUGUUUACUGUAACAGCAGCAAAUAGUAAUAUAAAGCGAACAAUACUCUUAACCAGAUUUAACAGCAUACCUUAUUUGGUGGCAAAAUGGGGUCAAACGCCCCAUCUGGAUAAUAUCCAAACCAAGAAGUCUCCCUUGGUAUCAAAACAGUGUCAUGUUCAAACUGUGAAUAAGAAAGAAAAAGAACACAGGAAGAAGAGCGAUGUUACUGUAACUGCUGCAAAUUGCGGUCAUCUGACACAAACUGAAACAAAGAAACAAAAAGAGAAUGCAAUGACAGGGCUGCAGUACAAACCAUGAUAAGGAGAAGAUUCUCCAAGCUGCUGAACCGUUUCUUAUAGGUGGAAUUUCUGUGACUAGGGAUUUCAUUGUUAAGCUUUGGGAGAAAAUGACAGGCUUUCAUGUACCUAGCAACAUUCUGUGAAGAGAGAAAUACAAGUUAAGCUUCCACACGUGAAAGAUUGGCAAAUAAAUUUUGCCUCGUCACCCCACUCUAGGAGAAAACAACUCAUCCUGGGGAAAACAAUCAUUGGAAGUUUCAAACUUCCAAAAGAAGGAAAAGGAGAUUAAUUUACUUUUGAGACACCAUAUUUUUUUUCAUGGCAUUCACAACCAUCACCUUCUUUUAGCAUUUUUUUCAACAUCCAACUACGGUAUUCUUUGAUUUCAAAUUCAGAAGAAAAAGCACAUUAUAAAAUGGUAACUACAAAAUAAAGCAAAUACGAAUUAGUUAAACAAAUGAAUAAAAAAUUCCUCCCCUUUUUUUUGUGUCAUCAACAACCUACCUAAAAUCCCAAAAUGCAGCAGCCACCAGAUGCAGUCAACUCCUCUCUAUCCUUCAAAGGACUUACAUGCAACCACUUCUUUCUGUUAAAACAAUAACUCGUAUAAAAUAGAGAAAUAGAGACAAGCCAUCUAGAACAGAGAGGAUAAGCAUUAUGAAUUUUGGAGUGUGAGCAUUGUGGCUUGUCAAAUUGUUCUCUUUUUAGUGCAACCAGGCUUUUUGCAAAUUUGAAAUUUGAUUUUAGAUAUUCCAUUCCCACCAAUAUACAGAGAAGAAGCAAAGUUGUGAAGCAACUAAAAAUUGUCAUAGGAUUGUUUGCAGAUCACGUUAUGACAUUACGUAAUGUGAAAUGCAAUAAUAUGCCACUUACAUUUGGAAGCAUGAGAUACCCACUAGGCGCCAAGUGAGCCUGCAAAUUAAAUAUUAUCAUUCCAAGGAAGCAUGCCAAACUUCCCUUAGUAAAUAAAACAGUAUCAGAACUUCGUAAUACCUGGACGAAUGCAGAGUAUAUCUCCGACUUGAUUAGACUAUCAGCAAUAAUGCAAAAAAUGCCAGACUGCAUAGUGAAUAUGAGAUCAAGAACAAUGUGACAACAUGCCAAGGAGUAUGAUUCGGCAAUAAAAAAUCUAUAAAUCAGCCUCGCCACCCAUGCUGCAGUGAAACCACUACUGUGAUCGUAUUUCACCUCAGUAAUUAUCAUCAAGAAGCUAGAACAGUGGUUAAGAGACUUCUGUUAACUUUUCCCAAAGGAAGAAGGCAGAUGACCAAAGAGAAAAAUCCUUACAUAAAUCAGCUACCAGAAACUACCAAGUAAACUUGUCUUCUCGAAGGAUAGAUGCAAAUGAUGGUAUAAAACUAUACAAACACUUACACCACAGAGAGGAACUGAAGCACUGCCAGUAUGAGGUCCUCCUAAGGAAAUAAAAUUCUUAACCUGUCAUGGGAACAAGCACAAAUGCUUAUCAUUGAAAUUUCUCAAGUACAGCAAACAUAAGGCCUAGACAGAUGACAACAGUAACAUGUCGAAUUAAUAAUGUAAAGAAAAGCCACAUGAAAGACAAAGAAGUUCAAUAAUUUCUCUCUUGGACUUCUCCUUUUUCCUUCUUUGGAGACCGAAAAAUUAAAGAUUUCUCCGUUCACUACAAAUAAUGCAGAUUACAAGGUUGGGAAGCAGCAUGUUUUAACCUGUCAUCUCUUUAGGUAGUCAACACAAUAUAUCACUUCGUUCCUCCAAUUACUGUAAAGAGGGAGAUAAAGUACUUCUUUUUCUCGUCGUAUUUCAUUUUCUUCAUUUUUCAUUCGCAUUCCCAUACCACAAAUUAGGGAGUCUUGUUUUUUCUUCAAAAAUUACAGAUUGGUGAGUACUGCAGGAAAGACUGGUUGUAUUUUUUGAUUCCGAGCAAUAUAUGUGAUGGACUAUUCGAAGCACAAAUACUAAUGAAGUUCAUCGUAAAGACCUGAAAUUUAUUUCCACUGAUGGUAGGCCCUCAAAUUCCAAAGAAUGACUUCUACUGAUGGUUUCCCCACUUUGUGAGAUUACACCGGAUAUGUUGUUGUUGGCUUAUACUGAUGGUGAAGAGUAUUGCAUUAAUACUUAGGCUGCCGUUUUAAGGAAAUGAGGACAAGGUGAAGAGCAAUAAUUCUGACAAUCUACCAACAACCUUGCUAGGAGUGGAAAUUAGAAACUGGAACUGGAGAAAUGACAUUCUGUAGGAGAUAAAGAAAAGAAUGUGGAGCCAAAGAUUUUUUAUUUUAAAGGAACAUUAUUAUAUUUGACAAGUGAGCCCAAGGAAGACUUCCCACAGUAAUUUUCUAGUUUCAAGGUUCCAUUGCCCUAGUGAAUAAUGGGAGAGCUCACUGCAAAUAAGAUAAUUGUAACCAGUCACAGACUGAUAUAUAGAGCAGCUAAUCAUAGUUUACACAGAGGUUCACAUCCACAUAUGUCGCAAGAGCUGGAUUGAAAUGACUAGAAUAGAAAGAUCUGAUUUGACUUAAGCAAAUAAAAUCAGAAGUCAAUCGGAAUUACAUGAAGAAAGCCAAAAGCCUGCUUUAGGCUUUUAGCCUACCUGUGGUCCUCCCUCUCAAAAUUCGACAACAGCUCGGCCUAUUAGAUUACCCUGCAUCAUAAGCAGAUGAGCAGUAAAUAUGCAGUCCAUGCAGCCUCAAACCAAUUGAAUCCAAAAUAUUACAACACAAAAUAAGCAAAUACAUUCCAAGCAAAUAAUAAUGUUAUUAUAUCAUGUGUCUUGCAUGACCCAGACGCUAUUAGUUUUGGAUGUUUGGUACGAGUUAGGCCAGUUCGGUAAUUGCAGACUUAGGUCAAGGAUCAUACUGGUCACCAACAGGUUAUAUGGAUAAAUAAAUCCAAGUGGAAUUAGUUAAGGACCAUAUUGACACACAAAUAUGAUACUAAGUGAUGAAAAUUACACUCAUAAAAGUAGUAUGCAAAUUUAGAUGAUCUAGUUUCUUGAAAUAACCUGGGAGAGACCAACUAUGUUGUACCCAUCUUGGAGUUCUUUCAUUUCCUUCACCUGUACUCAAAAAUUUGUUUCGCCAAUGAGUAAAACAAACAUGAGAGAUUAUCCACAAUAAAAUUCACUAAGUGACAUAGCUCCAUCACCUUGCUACACACUAUAUCAGCCUGCACACGAGAAAGAACAGAUCAGAACUAGGUUCUCAAGAUUUCAUUGCCCAAGAUGACUAGCAUUUAAAUUAUAAUGCAAUGUCAUUACCUGAUCCUCUAAAGUCAUAAACCAAGAGUCCCGUGAUCCAUUUCCGAUUUCCCUACCAGGGGAAAGUUCAAAGAGAGUGCAAUUACUAAACAAUACAUAACCAUAUCUGGAGAACAAAACACUGAACACUGAUGAUUUUGUAGGACUUGGACCAUAGAACAGAAUCAUAUAAGCUAAGACUGUUUGGAAAUAGAUUAGAUUCAGCAAGUACAAUUCAAAAUGCAAAAUCCUGAACCCCAGCCAUACUAAUUCGUAAACUCUCUAUUGACAGAUAAAAGACAUGGUGAUAUAUUACCUUUUCUUCAGACCUAUUUCAACUAUGGCUUCAAGGGAAAACAAAAAAUUCCUACUAAUGAUCUAAAAAAAAUACAUAAAAACUAGGAGACAUUAGAAAUCUUUUUUUUUUCAUUUUCUUCUGGUGUGCGUUCCUAACUUUAUCUUUGUUUUCCAAUGCAGCUUUUCAUUCUGUCCUAUGCGCCGAGGGUCNNNNNNNNNNNNNNNNNNNNNNNNNNNNNNNNNNNNNNNNNNNNNNNNNNNNNNNNNNNNNNNNNNNNNNNNNNNNNNNNNNNNNNNNNNNNNNNNNNNNNNNNNNNNNNNNNNNNNNNNNNNNNNNNNNNNNNNNNNNNNNNNNNNNNNNNNNNNNNNNNNNNNNNNNNNNNNNNNNNNNNNNNNNNNNNNNNNNNNNNNNNNNNNNNNNNNNNNNNNNNNNNNNNNNNNNNNNNNNNNNNNNNNNNNNNNNNNNNNNNCCUUUUGGGUAGGGGUAAGGCUGUCUACAUAUUACCUUCCCCAGACCCCACCUGGUGGGAGUAUACUGGGUAGUUGUUGUUGUUGUUGUUGUUUCUUCUGGUGUGCGGAGGGGGUUGGGUGGAGCGCUUAAGAUGUCUUUGAGGAAACUUUCUAAUCCACUUUGCUGAUUAUCAUGCAGCUUUAUUCAUGCAUCCGUCUUUUUCGAUAAGCGAAGAUUAAGUAAUCAAUUGAGCAUGAUUUCAAAGAACAACCAUUCUCCACAAUUGACUCCAACUCUGAUAUUGACGCAUAAACUCUUCUGCUUCAGAAUAAUAACGGCUAGCUAAAAGUGAGUCUAUUACAAGCUAGCCCAUGACACAACUUGUGAUAAAUAGAGUGCAUAUUCACCAUUUAUUCUCGACUUCAUUGUACAAGUUGCUUCUCUAAGCUAGUAGCUUAUCGAAAGGCUUUUUUAAAUAAUCAGAGGAAUAUAGUAAUCAUUAUAAAAAUGCUUAAGCUGUAUAAACCAAACACUAAAACAACUAACUAAAGCCUAAUGCGCAAUAACAUUACUUCAAGAAAAGGAAAAGGAACUACAACUUUUUUUAUCAAGGAAAAAGGACUACAACUUGUAUGAAACUCUUCCCAUGUGGUAUGUUGAAAAAUGUUUGACACCAUUCUAAACAUGCUUCACAAUUUUCAAGAGUUCAGACUCAUCUAACUAUUCAAAAUACAAUUUUGAUGUGAUAAAUUCUCUAUGAAACUUGCAAUCAUCAAUUUAGUAUUUUGUUCCACUACGACUAACAUACUACAUAUGUCGAAUUAACUUUUCAACCUUCACUGUCAAUCAAACAAAACACCUUUUAUUUCAGAAGAAGCAGUUCUACACUCAGAUACAGCAUUAGCAGAAAUGUGCCACACACCAAAUAAGAUUAUCCUCAGACCCAAUUUAUAAGACCCUCUUUCCAUUUUGGAAUGUCCCAAAAUAUGUGACACCAUUUGAUUAGCUGUAUACAAACUCCACCACAUUCAAGAAUUCAAAAUUCAUUUAACUAUUCAAAUUUUAUAGUUUGAUAAAAUAUAUUUUCUUUAACAAACUAACUUCAACCAUUGUCCUAGUAUUUUUUCCACUAAGAUUAGUAUAAUACAAAAGUCAAAUAAACAUAUUUUACAAAGAGAUAGUACUACCUCUUUUUAUGAAGUCAAAUUAACAUCUUAAGCUUCAUGACACUUCAAUAUAGAAGAGACAACUUUUAUAUGGAUGGAUAGUAUUUAAUUAGAACAGACAAAGAUUAAUAAGCAGUUUUGCAAUCAUAUACAAAGUAAUAGCAGAAAUUUACUAAACGCCAAAUAAGAUUAGUAUAUAUCAUAUGGUCAUACUAAGUAUUGCUCUUAAAAACUAUUUCAGAGAGAAGAAAUAUUAGAAGCAAUAUCCUUCAGAUUUGGACCAUUCACUUAGUUCCUCAGUGAAACGUUUGACUCCAUUGUGCGAACACUGAUCUCCAAU
rnacentral:lncRNA from 1 species